UACGUAGGGUGCAAGCGUUGUCCGGAAUUAUUGGGCGUAAAGAGCUUGUAGGCGGUUUGUCGCGUCUGCUGUGAAAUUUCGGGGCUCAACCCCGAACUUGCAGUGGGUACGGGCAGACUAGAGUGUGGUAGGGGAGACUGGAAUUCCUGGUGUAGCGGUGAAAUGCGCAGAUAUCAGGAGGAACACCGAUGGCGAAGGCAGGUCUCUGGAACGGUACUGACGCUGAGACGCGGAAAGCGUGGGGAGCGAACAGGAUAGAA
rnacentral:rRNA from 1 species